AAACUACUCCCUCCGUCCGAAAAUACUUGUCAUCAAAAUGGAUAAAAAGGGAUGUAUCUAAAACUAAAAUACGUCUAGAUACAUCCACUUUUGUUCAUUUUAAUGACAAGUAUUUCCGGACGGAGGGAGUAUGUU
rnacentral:pre_miRNA from 1 species